GAUGAACGCUGGCGGCGUGCUUAACACAUGCAAGUCGAACGAGAAUCAACGGAUUGAGGAUUCGUCCAAAUGAAGUUGAGGAAAGUGGCGGACGGGUGAGUAACGCGUGAGGAACCGUGCCUCGGAGUGGGGAAUAACAGUUGGAAACAGCUGCUAAUACCGCAUAAUGCAACGAAAUCGCAUGACUUUUGUUGCCAAAGAUUUAUCGCUCUGAGAUGGCCUCGCGUCUGAUUAGCUAGUUGGCGGGGUAACGGCCCACCAAGGCGACGAUCAGUAGCCGGACUGAGAGGUUGGCCGGCCACAUUGGGACUGAGACACGGCCCAGG
rnacentral:rRNA from 1 species